CCAAACUUGGUCAUUUAGAGGAAGUAAAAGUCGUAACAAGGUUUCCGUAGGUGAACCUGCGGAAGGAUCAUUAUCAAUCAAUCUUUCGCGGGAGAGAUUUCCCGCGAAAAAAAAAAAUGUACUUAAAACCAACCCUUUUUAUGAAUCGUAAUAUUUUUAUGUGAAAUAUAAAAAAAAAGAUCACUUUCAACAACGGAUCUCUUGGCUCUCAGAUGUGUAUAAGAGACAGCCAAACUUGGUCAUUUAGAGGAAGUAAAAGUCGUAACAAGGUUUCCGUAGGUGAACCUGCGGAAGGAUCAUUAUCAAUCAAUCUUUCGCGGGAGAGAUUUCCCGCGAAAAAAAAAAAUGUACUUAAAACCAACCCUUUUUAUGAAUCGUAAUAUUUUUAUGUGAAAUAUAAAAAAAAAGAUCACUUUCAACAACGGAUCUCUUGGCUCUCGCAUCGAUGAAGAACGCAGC
rnacentral:misc_RNA from 1 species